rnacentral:rRNA from 1 species
CUUAGGGAUGCCUAGCUACUGAAUCUUUGAUGUGUCAUCAGAGAUAACGUAAAGGAAAAUAAUGAUAUUACUUUACUAUUAGUGUCGUCCAAAUACUCGUGCCAGAAGACUCGGUAAGGCGAGAGACGCAAACGUUAUUCGUCUUGAUCAGGCGUAAAGGGUUUGUAGGCUGCUUUGAGAAUUUAUUAAUAAGUUUGCUAUUAUAAAUCUAAGUUUCACAAUAAAUUUAUAUCCUAAGUUUGCUAUUUGGUAAAUAUGGAAAUAUUAUAAAAUUAUUGUUUAGUUUAUAAUUUUAUUAAGAAGUCAAUUAAAGCUAGAAUCUAAUGGAGGUUAAAACAAUACUUAAGGUAGGAGUACUAACCGUAAAUAUUAAGCAGAGUUUUAAUGGCGAAGGCAUUUAUCCACUAAAGAUUGACGCUGAGAAACGAAGGUGAGGGCAGAAAAAAGGAUUAGAGACCCUUGUAUUCCUCACUGUCAACGAUGAAUGGUAGUUACUAGUUAGAAAUAAACUAGAGGCGAUGUUAACACGAAAACCAUUCCGCCUUGUGAGUACAACUGCAAAGUUGAAAACAAAAAAAUUAGUCGGUUUCGGAGCAAACGAAGUGAAGCAUGUUAUUUAAUUCAAUAAAUCCGCA